CCCCUAUCUGAACACAGAUUUUUUAUCUUUGCACUUGUUGUAAUGGACUGCAAUUUUGGUUUACAAAUUCUGUCCAGUGGAUUUUAAGCUUCUCUAGGGCAAAGAUCAAGUUUAAUUAAUCUUUUUUUUUUUUUUUUUUUAAUUUCAGAGCUGAGUGCAGUGCUGAAGUAUGGACACACGAGGUAUUUCUGGAGUUGAAUUACUCCUGGAACCAGACUUUCACGCUGCCUUUACCCCCAGAUCUUCCAAAACUCCUUGGCCCUGCCUUUAUUCAACUUUAACUUUGGAGUCAGAGAGCUGAGGAUAGAAAGCAUUUCAUGGAUAUCUGAAAAUGGUCAGCCAGAUAUCUUCAGAACCCUUUGGAAAUGACCACCGGCAUUCUUUGGUGUUGGACCUGGAGCCCUGAAUUAACCAGAAAAGACAGGAGCUUGAUGCCUACAGAAAGCAUACAUUCUACUCUUGCACUUCAGACCCCACGUUUUAAGGGAGGACUAUGUUAUCCAUUGCUGGAAGAGGGCAGACUCAUAGGUGAACAGCAACGAGGAAAGGCAGAUGAGGACUCCUCAGGAAAAACGACACAAACCUGA
rnacentral:lncRNA from 1 species